UACGUAGGGUGCGAGCGUUGUCCGGAAUUACUGGGCGUAAAGAGUUCGUAGGCGGUUUGUCGCGUCGUUCGUGAAAACUUGGGGCUUAACUCCAAGCGUGCGGGCGAUACGGGCAGACUUGAGUACUACAGGGGAGACUGGAAUUCCUGGUGUAGCGGUGAAAUGCGCAGAUAUCAGGAGGAACACCGGUGGCGAAGGCGGGUCUCUGGGUAGUAACUGACGCUGAGGAACGAAAAGCGUGGGUAGCGAACAGG
rnacentral:rRNA from 1 species